UCCCUAAGAAAAAGGUGUCUCUACUGAAAU
rnacentral:piRNA from 1 species